UAGUCGCCGCAUGAAGCGGCUUCAUCUGCCAAAGAAGCUCUCCGCAUCGAACUCUCAUUCUUGAACAGAAGGAAGGUCGUUUCUUCGAGGUAAGGACGCACUCUGCCCCCAGCGCCGGGUGUGCCCUCAAUCUGGUACGUUCGUCUCUGCCCGAAGCCCCAUUUUGAGGAGAGCUCUGCGUUUGGGUUCCCCUCUGCUUCCUGAACUACCGAAAGGGGCCAAGAACUCAAACGAUAGCUUCAUCCGUGGGAGGCUCCUGCCAAGCUCCUCCCGUCGGCCCGAUGUCCGGCGAGCAUCUCCGAGGGUUCCCUCGGUUCCCCGAUAUUGGAAACCCUCAUUCUCUUCAGAGGGCUGGGUGCUGAUCAGAAAGUGAAGCAGCAAAUGAAGCAACAGCAGUGAGUUGGCCAACUGAUCUUGGCAGAGUAAACAACGUGUCGACAAAAAAUGCCGUCUUGAUGAUGAGGGAGUUACCAGGUAAUUUAAAGAGAAAGCUAGCGAUGAGUAAUGUUGCUCCUCUUGAGAGUUGGUUUCGAACCCGUGAAGAACUAUUCAACUUCAAUCCUCUUUUAAAGUUGCAGUUAAUCAUCAAGUGGCAAAAUUGCGUCAACGGCAGACUAUUUGACCUGAUAAAUUCGAUGGUCUGGCCACCAUGGAUCCGAGAAAGCAGGCACUGGGCGUCUCUUUGCAAAUUUUGCCGUGUUAUAUGUAAUAUGAUUCAUAGAGCAGUUUUCAGCGUCGAACUGAUGUUUUAAAGAUCAAAAGUGCAAAUUGAACUC